UUAGGUGGGAUGAGAAUUCUAAGGUGCUUGUGAGAACCCUCGUUCAGGAACUCGGCAAAAUGUAACCGUAACUUCGGGAGAAGGUUAGCCCUGUCAACCAAUGGCAGGGUCGCAGAGAAAUGUUUCAGGCGACUGUUUAACAAAAACACAGGUCUCCGCAAAGUUGUAAAGACAACGUAUGGGGGCUGACGCCUGCCCAAUGCUGGAAGGUUAAAAGGAGUGGUUAGUCGUAAGGCGAAGCUGCGAAUUGAAGCCCCAGUGAAUGGCGGCCGUAACGAUAACGGUCCUAAGGUAGCGAAAUUCCUUGUCGGGUAAGUUCCGACCUGCACGAAUGGCGUAACGAUCUGAAAGCUGUCUUAACGAGGGACACAGCGAACUUGUAGUACCGGUGAAGAUGCCGGUUUCCCGCAUCUAGACGGAAAGACCCCGUGCACCUUGACUACAACUUGAUAGUGAUUUCGGGUAAGUAAUGCGCAGCAUAGGUGGGAGGCUUUGAUGUCAGGCUUUUGGGCUUGGCGGAGCCAUCGGUGAGAUACCACCCUUUACUUAUUUGGACUCUAACCUCGACCCGUAAUCCGGGUCAGGGACAUUAUCAGGCGGGUAGUUUGACUGGGGCGGUCGCCUCCUAAAGAGUAACGGAGGCGCUCGAAGGUUGGCUCAGGCUGUUUGGAAAUCAGCCGCAGAGUGUAAACGCAUAAGCCAGCUUAACUGCGAGACAUACACGUCGAGCAGGUACGAAAGUAGGAGUUAGUGAUCCGGCGGUCGCUUAUGGAAGUGCCGUCGCUCAACGGAUAAAAGGUACGCCGGGGAUAACAGGCUGAUCCUGCCCAAGAGUUCACAUCGACGGCAGGGUUUGGCACCUCGAUGUCGGCUCAUCAUAUCCUGGGGCUGAAGAAGGUCCCAAGGGUUCGGCUGUUCGCCGAUUAAAAUGGUACGUGAGCUGGGUUCAGAACGUCGCGAGACAGUUCGGUCCCUAUCUGGUGUGGGCGUAGCAAUAUUGAAGGAAUCUGUCCUUAGUACGAGAGGACCGGGAUGGAUUGACCUCUAGUGUACGUGUUAUGGCGCCAGCCGUAUCGCACGGUAGCUAUGUCGAGCAUGGAUAAACGCUGAAUGCAUCUAAGCGUGAAGCCAGACCUAAGAUUAAUAUUGCCAGUGAGACUCGUGGAAGACCACCACGUAAUAGAUUGGAGAUGUAAGUGCAGUAAUGUAUUUAGUUGACCAAUACUAAUUGUCCCAAGGCUUGAUC
rnacentral:rRNA from 1 species